rnacentral:rRNA from 1 species
GUCUAUGGCCAUGCCACCCUGAACAUGCCUGAUCCCAUCUGAUCUUGGAAGCUAAGCAGGGUCAGGCCUGGUUAGUACUUGGAUGGGAGACUGCCUAGGAAGACCAGGUGCUGUAGGUG